AUGAAGAUGAAGAAGAAAAUACUAUUCACAUAUCUCUUCUUUUUACGAUAUCUCGAGCUACGGUGCUCCAAUUUGCGUGGCGUCAGUGGCUACGCAUUCCUUGUGAAGAGCUCUACAAAACCCAUAUAAGAAACUGGUUUACUCUAAUCCUUGCUUAGCAUUGGAUUUUGGCUAUCAAAUCUGCUGGAAAAGAUGCAGGUCGUAACCCACCUCGGUGAGUUGCUUUGAUGGUGACAGGAGCGAAGGAUAUCUAUCUAUUUUGAAGUCUUUUGAUCUCUUUGGUAUAUGUCUCUCAUCUUUUGUAUUUUGCUUUGCCUAGAGGCUUGAAUUUGAGAGAACAAAACUUGUAUAAGCUAUUUUUACUAUCUGGUUUC